rnacentral:rRNA from 1 species
GACGAACGCUGGCGGCGUGCUUAACACAUGCAAGUCGGACGAGUGGCGAACGGGUGAGUAAUAUAUUGGAACGUACCGAGUAAUGGGGGAUAACCAAUCGAAAGAUUGGCUAAUACCGCAUAUUAUUCGAGCGGCCAAUAUCUGAUUAGGCAGUUGGUGGGGUAAAGGCCUACCAAGGCGACGAUCAGUAGCGGGUGUGAGAGGAUGAUCCCCCCCCCUGGGACUGAGAAACGGCCCAUACUCCUCCUCUCUUCCCCCUUUUUCCCUUUUCUAACCUCUUCGCAAGCCUGAUCCAGCCAUGCCGCGUGUCUGAAAACCCCCUUCUGAUUUUCAUGGACUUUUGUUAGGGAAGCGGUACCUAAAGAAUAAGCACCGGCUAACUAGGUGCCAGCAGCCGCGGUAAUUC